rnacentral:misc_RNA from 1 species
UCUGGGUUUUUACUGUCUCGAGCUCUGGUCACACCCGCUGUGCUCACCAUUUUGUUUGCAACGUGAAAAACUAGAUGAAAAACGCUCUCACCGAGUUUGACUUAAACGAAAACUGUGUAAAGUAAACUAGAGACGCUUGAAACCUCUGCAAAUAUAGUGCGUACCACCGGCCAAGAAGAUGGACAACAUAGAGCGACUGUACAAAUGCUACGAGAUACUGUCCGAGGCGGGCGAUAAAAUAUCCGAGCAUGUGGAUGAAUAUAAGGAGAUACUCAAGGCCGUGAAGGGCACGUCGAAGGAGAAGCGCCUGGCAUCGCAAUUCAUUGGUAACUUCUUCAAACACUUUCCGGAUUUGGCCGACACAGCCAUCGACGCGCAGUUUGAUUUGUGCGAGGAUGACGACACACAGAUCCGCCGACAGGCCAUCAAAGAUCUUCCGAAACUGUGCCAGGGAAACGCAGAUGCUACCAUCCGAGUGGGUGAUACUCUGGCCCAGCUGUUAAUCCUGGACGAUCCCACAGAACUGCAGCAGGUCAACAACUCACUGCUGGCCAUCAUAAAACUGGACACCAAGAGCUCCAUCGCCGGAUUGUUUCAGCAAAUCUCCACUGGGGAUGAAACCACAAGGGAGCGCUGCCUCAAGUUCAUUGCCACCAAGCUGCUGACCAUGGGUCCCACAGUUAUCACCAAGGAAAUCGAGGACAUUAUCGUGGAGGAGAUCAAAAAGGCAUUGCAGGAUGUCACCGCGGAUGAGUUCCAUCUGUGCAUGACAAUUCUGGGAGCCACCAAACUGGGAAGCACCAUCACAGGACACGCGGAGCUCGUCAAGCUGGCCACGGAGCAGGCGGAGCUUAAUAACACAGACGCGGACAUCAUAGCUGUAGACGACGAGGUGGUGGAGCGAUUCAUUCAGUGCGCCUCUGCUGCGGCUCCUUACUUUUCGAAAACCAUCAAAUCCACGGCCUUCGUGGCUCACGUUUGCGAUAAACUGCUGCCCAUCAAGACAUGGAACAUGAUCGCCACUGCAGUGUCGCAAGAUCAAAUCCAACUUAGAUUACUAAAGGUAUUCGCCGAGAUGAUAACCAAUACAGACAAGCUGGACAAUGCCAGCGAACGCAUUAAUGCAGUCUACCAUGUAUUGCUGGAAUACAUGCCUUUGCCGAAGCUGAGCGACGAGGAUCUGGGAGAUACGCCGCCCUCGUUUCAGUUCUCGCACGCCGAGUGCUUACUGUACGCAUUGCACACCCUUGGAAAGAAUCAUCCAAAUAGUUUAAGUUUCGUCGAGGAUGCGGAGAAGCUAAAAGACUUUCGGGCUAGAUUGCAAUAUCUAGCAAGGGGAACACAGGGUUAUAUUAAGAAGCUGGAGGAGUCGCUCAAGGGCAAGACUGGAGAGGAGCUCAAAACGGAGGAGAACCAACUGAAGCAGACGGCACUGAAGACGACUUCAAACAUCAACGUUCUGAUUCGGGAUCUAUUCCAUUCGCCGCCCAUAUUCAAACAUGACAUUGUGCUCUCCUGGAUUGUGCCAAAAAAUAACAAGCUGGGCAAGCGCCAUGCACCCAUCACGUUUGGAGAAAAAGCCGCUGCUAACGGCAAGGAUAAGGAACAGGAGCCAGAGAAGAAAGCGCGGUCAUCCAACGAUCAGAGGUUCUACUCACCGCCAUCCGGAAAAUACUCGAACAAGGUCAACCAGAGCUACGGGAACAACAAUCGCACGAGACAACGAGGCGGCGGCGGCGGCGGCAGCGGUGGAGGCUACAGAAACAGGCGAUUCAACAAGUACUAAGUAAACAAUCGUGAGGCAGAAGAGCAGCAAAGAACACUUCACUUGAAUGGUUUGUCCCUAGUCCAUAGACAUACAUAAAAAAAAAGAGAGAAAAACAAAACUAGCAGAUAUUGGAUGCGUGCAGAGUACACACAAUUGAUGCGAUGCUGCAGCCAAGCAAUUUUAAAGGAUAUUUCAAAAAGGAAACAAAACGAAAGUGCGCAACUUAUUUUCAUGGAAAGUAAAUGCAACAUUUUUACAUCCAUUUAACUCAUACACUCACGCAUUGCUUUUAUUAUUUUCGUGAACAAAUGUUUUUGCUAAAGUACUUGUGCAAUUUCCCAAAACACGCCACGCCUUCUUUUCAUACAUCGCCCAAAGAAAGGCGCUGGCAUUGUUUGAAAUUUUUAUAUCUCGCUCCUGUUUUUACCUUCAAUUCUGUCAAACGCAUAAAUAUAAGAUUAUACAGAUAACCAAGUGAACGAAUAUCAAUAUAUAAAACAUACUUUCAAGUUGACCGCUUUGAAGAUCAUGAUUUUCAAGCGACAAAUCGGCAUUUGUUUCAAACCCAUUAGUUUUUAUUUAACAUGUAAUAUCAAAUUAACAAUUGUACCACUUAGAGAUGCAAAUCAGCAAAAAACCACAUAGCAUACAUUUCUUGAAUUCAAUAAAAGCAACAUUAAAUUA